UACGGGGGGGGCAAGCGUUGUUCGGAAUUACUGGGCGUAAAGGGCUCGUAGGUGGCCAACUAAGUCAGACGUGAAAUCCCUCGGCUUAACCGGGGAACUGCGUCUGAUACUGGAUGGCUUGAGGUUGGGAGAGGGAUGCGGAAUUCCAGGUGUAGCGGUGAAAUGCGUAGAUAUCAGGAGGAACACCAAUUGCGAAGGCAGCUCGCUGGGACGUUACUGACGCUGAGACGCGAAAGCGUGGGGAGCAAACAGG
rnacentral:rRNA from 1 species